AACGCGAAGAACCUUACCUACCCUUGACAUCCUAAGAAUCCUGUAGAGAUACGGGAGUGCCGAAAGGAAUUUAGAGACAGGUGCUGCAUGGCUGUCGUCAGCUCGUGUUGUGAGAUGUUGGGUUAAGUCCCGUAACGAGCGCAACCCUUAUCCUUAGUUACCAUCAUUAAGUUGGGGACUCUAAGGAGACUGCUGGUGAUGAACCGGAGGAAGGCGGGGACGACGUCAAGUCAUCAUGGCCUUUAUGGGUAGGGCUACACACGUGCUACAAUGGUCGGUACAGAGGGAAGCCAACCCGCGAGGGGGAGCCAAUCCCGGAAAGCUGAUCGUAGUCCGGAUCGGAGUCUGCAACUCGACUCCGUGAAGUCGGAAUCGCUAGUAAUCGCGAAUCAGAAUGUCGCGGUGAAUACGUUCCCGGGCCUUGUACACACCGUAGUAC
rnacentral:rRNA from 1 species